AUGGCCAUAUCACACUGAAGCUCCAGUUUGCAUAUGAUCACUGAAGUUAAGCAACAUCAAGCUUGGUCAAUACCUAGUUGGGUGACUAAUUGGGAAUACCAAGUGCUGUAAG